rnacentral:lncRNA from 10 species
AUAUUUAUUAAUUACAGAUGUGAAUUUCUUCGGAGUAAGAAAUCCUCAGAGGAAAUUACCCAGUAUAUUCAAAGCUACAAGGGAUUUGUUGACAUAACGGUCUGUUUUCAAGGUCAGUUUCCGGAAACAGUGACCCUGAGAAGGCUUCCUCCUGAGUAUGCAUAAACAUUCACAGCUUGCAUGCGUGUGUGUGUGUGUGUGUGUGUGUGUGUGUGUGUGUGUGUGUAUGUUUGCUUGCACUGCAUAAAAACAAUUGCAACAUCAACAGAAAUAAAAAUUAAAGGAAUAAUUCUCCUCCGACUCUGCCGUUCCAUCCAGUGAAACUCUUCAUUCUGGGG